UACGGGGGGUGCAAGCGUUAUCCGGAAUUAUUGGGCGUAAAGCGUUUGUAGGCGGGCGAGUGUGUUUAAUGUUAAAUCUUAAAGCUCAACUUUGAAAUUGCGCUAAAAACUGCUUGUCUUGAGUAUGGUAGGGGUAAAGGGAAUUCCCAGUGUAGCGGUGAAAUGCGUAGAUAUUGGGAAGAACACUAAACAGCGAAGGCACUUUACUAGGCUAAUACUGACGCUGAGAAACGAAAGGUAAGGUAGCGAAACGGAUUAGAUACCCGUGUAGUCUUACCCGUAAACUAUGGACACUAAACGGUAAAUUUUUAAUUUACUGUUAAAGCUAACGCGUUAAGUGUCCCGCCUGGGGAGUAUGCUUGCAAAAGUGAAACUCAAAGGAAUUGACGGGGGCCCGCACAAGCGGUGGAGCAUGUGGUUUAAUUCGACGGUACACGAAGAACCUUACCAGGAUUUGACAUGCUAGAUAGUUGCUUGAAAGAGUAACGUGCCGUAAGGAAUCUAGACACAGGUGGUGCAUGGCUGUCGUCAGUUCGUGUUGUGAAGUGUUGGGUUAAGUCCCGCAACGAACGCAACCCUUGUCUUUAGUUAUUUUCUAAAGAGACUGCCUGUAAUAAACAGGAGGAAGGUAAGGAUGAGGUCAAGUCAUCAUGCCCCUUAUGUCCUGGGCUACACACGUGCUACAAUGGGAAAGACAAUGAGCUGCAAAUCUGUAAAUUUAAGCAAAUCUCUUAAACUUUCUCGUAGUUCGGAUUGUGGGCUGCAACUCGCCCACAUGAAGUUGGAAUCGCUAGUAAUCGCCAGUCAGCUAUAUGGCGGUGAAUCCGUUCCCGGGCCU
rnacentral:rRNA from 1 species